UACGUAGGGUGCGAGCGUUGUCCGGAAUUAUUGGGCGUAAAGGGCUCGUAGGCGGUUUGUCGCGUCGGGAGUGAAAUCCACUGGCUUAACUGGUGGCUUGCUUUCGAUACGGGCAGACUGGAGGUAUGCAGGGGAGAACGGAAUUCCUGGUGUAGCGGUGAAAUGCGCAGAUAUCAGGAGGAACACCGGUGGCGAAGGCGGUUCUCUGGGCCGAUACUGACGCUGAGGAGCGAAGGCGUGGGGAGCGAACAGG
rnacentral:rRNA from 1 species